rnacentral:misc_RNA from 1 species
CGAAAUUCGGCGCGCUUCGGCGCUGCCUUAUUCACCCACCCUUUGUCUACGUGUACCUCCAUAGCUUCCUCGGCGGGCUCGCCCGCCGCCAGGAACCCACGAAACCCCUUGCAUUAUACACGAAAACUUCUGAUAACAAACCUAAAUUAUUA